rnacentral:rRNA from 1 species
UACGGGGGGGGGGCAAGCGUUGUUCGGAAUUACUGGGCGUAAAGGGCUCGUAGGCGGCCAACUAAGUCGGAUGUGAAAUCCCCAGGCUCAACUUGGGAACUGCAUCCGAUACUGGAUGGCUUGAAUUCGGGAGAGGGAUGCAGAAUUCCAGGUGUAGCGGUGAAAUGCGUAGAUAUCUGGAGGAAUACCGGUGGCGAAGGCGGCAUCCUGGACCGGCAUUGACGCUGAUGAGCGAAAGCUAGGGGAGCAAACGG